UGCCCAGCAACUCCUAUCCCUACCUCCUCGUGGUACUGGCCGGGGUACGAGUAACCUUGGGGAAGAUCGGGUAACCACUCCCCGGUGGGAACUUUGGUCGUAUGCUGACAGGGAAGG
rnacentral:ribozyme from 1 species